UGGCUGAGCAGAUAAGUCUUCUAUCUAACAGAAUUUCCAUGUGAUGAAAGAUCUGAAGAAUGGUGUAUAGAACGGAGAAGUAAUGCAGAGCCAAGAAACACAGAAAGUACAGCGAUGGAAGCUGCAGAAGGAAAGGGGAGGGAGAAUGUAGCAAGACAUUACCUGCGGAUUAGUAACACCGAAAUAUAUGGGAACUCAGCCCUGCCUGCUCAA